rnacentral:tRNA from 2 species
GGCUGAAAUAGCUCAGUUGGUAGAGCACUUCACUCGUAAUGAAGGGGUCGUGGGUUCGAGUCCCAUUUUCAGCUU